AGGGGUAUAGUUCAAUGGUAGAGCGCCGGUCUCCAAAACCGUCGAUGUGGGUUCAACUCCUACUACCCCUGCCA
rnacentral:tRNA from 1 species